UGGGGAAUCUUGCGCAAUGGGCGAAAGCCUGACGCAGCGACGCCGCGUGAGUGAUGAAGGCCUUCGGGUUGUAAAGCUCUGUGGGGAGAGAAGAAUAAGUGCGGGCUAAUACUCCGCAUGAUGACGGUAUCUCCUUAGCAAGCACCGGCUAACUCUGUGCCAGCAGCCGCGGUAAGACAGAGGGUGCAAACGUUGUUCGGAAUUACUGGGCGUAAAGCGAGUGUAGGCGGUUUGGUAAGUCGGAUGUGAAAGCCCCGGGCUCGACCCGGGAAGUGCACUCGAUACUGCCAAGCUAGAGUAUCGGAGAGGUUGGUGGAAUUCUCGGUGUAGAGGUGAAAUUCGUAGAUAUCGAGAGGAACACCGGCGGCGAAGGCGGCCAACUGGACGAAUACUGACGCUGAGACUCGAAAGCGUGGGGAGCAAACAGGAUUAGAUACCCUCGUAGUCCCUGAGCGGGCUGGCAAGGCGCAU
rnacentral:rRNA from 1 species